CUCGACCUCUCCCCACCCUAGCCGCCACUCCCAUUUUGCUUGCUUCCUGGCCGUCGGCCGCUGUUUGAACUUGCUUGCUUCCUGGGCUCCUGGCCGCCGGCCGCUGGGCUAAACGUGCUUGCUAGUAUGCUUUUGUCCAUACUUGCUAUUGCUAGCUUGCUUGCUUCCUGCCUGGCCGCCGGCCGCUGGUGUUUGCUAGCUUGCAGGUUGCAGCCACCGUCAAUCACUAAGGCAGUAAGGCUGAACCGUUGAAGCCUUGAAGGUAUGCUGGUCCAUCCUUAAUCCAUAUAUGUGCUGCAUCUACCAAUAUGAGUUUCUAACUUUUAAUUAUUUGUUUUUUCACCUUUGUGAAUUUUAAUAGCUUUUCACAUGUCAAGGCUUUGGGAACACUAUUCUAUAUACACAGAGGGACACGAAAAAGACGGUGUCAUAUAGGAACAACGUUGGGCGAAAUGCAAUAGGUGCAAUUAUAGGGCUCGUGCUGAACCUCGGCGUGGAACUAUGCAUUUGUGGCACCAUUUGAGAAGGAGGCACCACUACAACUAGGGAUGAAAACGGAUCGGAUACGGACGGAUAUCAUCGAUAUCAUAUUUGUUUUCAUAUUUCUGGUCGGUCGGAUUCGAAUACGGAUAAUGUCAACCAUGUCGGAUAAGAUAGGAUUAGAUGUCGACAUCAUAAAUAUACGAUUUAAGUAUUUGGAUACGGAUACGGUAUCAGAUGUUGAAUAUUCGGACUCGGAGAUGGACAGAUCUGAACCCCUCUAAACGAAUUCGGUCUCAAAUACGGUCGGAAAAUAUCCGUACCGUUUUCAUCUCUGACUACAACCAUGAGCUAGGCCAAUUUCAGGAUCCUCAGAUCGGUGAAGGUGCCACCAAUGCAAAUGUUGAUAUGGGUGAAGUUUUCAAUGCAAAUGAAUAACCCAUGAGAGGCCCUGACAAUGAGCCCCAUGACUCCAUGACUCCAUGAGGCCAUGAGCUUGGCUACUUCUACUCAUGUCGUGAAGAUCGGUGCUUGUAUGAUGUAUUUGUAUCUUUAUUAUAUUUGUUGCUUUACAUUAUAAUCUUCCGGCUUAAUCUAGACGGUUUAUGGAGAGUUGUGUAAUGGUUUGUGCACCUAUGAAUCUAUGGUAUAUUGCUUUUACUCAAUAUCCGAAUAGAUAUUUGUAUCCGACGUUCUCCAAAU
rnacentral:lncRNA from 1 species